GCGAACGUUGUUCGGAAUCACUGGGCUUAAAGGGCGCGUAGGCGGGCUGCCAAGUUUGGGGUGAAAUCCUCCGGCUCAACCGGAGCAGUGCCUCGAAUACUGGCGGUCUCGAGGGAGGUAGGGGCGUGCGGAACUGUGGGUGGAGCGGUGAAAUGCGUUGAUAUCCACAGGAACUCCGGUGGCGAAGGCGGCACGCUGGACCUUUUCUGACGCUGAGGCGCGAAAGCUAGGGGAGCGAACGGG
rnacentral:rRNA from 1 species